AAGCUUCAUUGUCAAGAGGGAAACAGCCCAGAUCCCCAGAUAAGACCCCAAAAUAACAACUAAGUGGCAAAGGAUGUGUUGACACAUAGACAACCAGGAGGUUUGCCUAGAAGCAGCCACCCUUUAAAAAGUGCGUAAUAGCUUACUGGUCAAGUGUCUUCGCGCCAAAAAUGAACGGGACUAAGUUGUUUGUCGACGCUGUGAGAUGAGAUAUCGGUAGAGGAGCGUUCUGUAUUAGGUUGAAGUACAAUCGAGAGGGUGUAUGGACGAAUCAGAAGUGAGAAUGUCAACUUGAGUAACGAAAAUAUUGGUGAGAAUCCAAUACCCCGAAAACCUAAGGUUUCCUCUAGAAGGCUCGUCCGUGGAGGGUUAGUCAGGACCUAAGAUGAGACCUAUUGGUGUAGUCGAUGGAUAACAGAUUAAUAUUUCUGUACUGUUUUUAUUUUAGUUAAGAGUGACGGAGAAGGCUAGGCUAGCUGGUAGUUGGUUUCCAGUUUAAGCUUUUAAGGUGUUGAAGGAUGUAAUAAAAAAUAUCCUGAGCUAAGAAGUGAAUACGCAACACUAUGGUGUUAUAAGUAGCUGAUGCCAUACUUCCAAGAAAAGCUUUUGUAACAUGUAAGUAAAAGCACCUGUACCUAAAACUGACACAGGUAGGUAAGCAGAGAAUGCUAAGGGGCGUGAGCUAACUCUCUCUAAGGAACUCGGCAAAAUGACUCUGUAACUUUGGGAGAAGGAGUGCCCUUUAAAAAGGGUCGCAGUGACUAGUCCCAUGCAACUGUUUACCAAAAACACAGGUUUCUGCAAAGUCGAAAGACAAUAUAUAGAAGCUGACACCUGCCCAGUGCUGGAAGGUUAAGGAAGUGGGUUCAAUGCUCGCGACUCAAGCCCCAGUGAACGGCGGCGGUAACUAUAACCGUCCUAAGGUAGCGAAAUUCCUUGCCAGGUAAGUUCUGGCCUGCACGAAAGGUGUAAUGAUGUGGGAGCUGUCUCAGAGAGAGGCUCAGUGAAAUAGAAUUAACUGUGAAGAUGCGGUUUUCCUGGAUUUGGACAGAAAGACCCUAUGCAGCUUUACUGUAGCUUGAAGUUGGUUUUAGACUUUUUUUGCGCAGAAUAGGUGGGAGGCGAUGAGGUUAUUCUUUUGGGAAUAGCUGAGCCAUUAGUGAGAUACCACUCUGAAAGAGUUAGAAAUCUAAUGAUGUUCCUUGAAUCAGGACGUUUGACAGUUUCAGGUGGGCAGUUUAACUGGGGCAGUUACCUCAUAAAAAGUAACUGAGGUGUGCAAAGGUUCUCUCAGGCUAGACGGAAAUUAGCUGUAGAGUGUAAAGGCACAAGAGAGCUUAACUGCAAGACCUAUAAGUCGAGCAGAAACGAAAGUUGGCCUUAGUGAUCCGAUGAUAUCGAGUGGAAGAGUCAUCGCUCAACAGAUAAAAGUUACGCUAGGGAUAACAGGCUGAUCUGCACCAAGAGUUCACAUCGACGUGCAGGUUUGGCACCUCGAUGUCGGCUUGUCGCAUCCUGUGGCAGAAGCAUGUCUCAAGGGUUGGGCUGUUCGCCCAUUAAAGCGGCACAUGAGCUGGGUUCAGAACGUCGUGAGACAGUUCGGUCCAUAUCCGGUCCAGGCGUUAGAGUAUUGAAAGGAUUUUUUGUUAGUACGAGAGGACCAUAAAAAACGUGCCUCUGGUGUACCAGUUCUUGUGCCAACAGGAAAUGCUGGGUAGCCA
rnacentral:rRNA from 1 species